UACGUAGGGUGCAAGCGUUGUCCGGAAUUAUUGGGCGUAAAGAGCUCGUAGGCGGUUUGUCGCGUCUGCUGUGAAAACUCAGGGCUUAACCCUGAGCCUGCAGUGGGUACGGGCAGACUAGAGUGUGGUAGGGGAGAUCGGAAUUCCUGGUGUAGCGGUGAAAUGCGCAGAUAUCAGGAGGAACACCGGUGGCGAAGGCGGGUCUCUGGGCCGUAACUGGACGCUGAGGAGCGAAAGCAUGGGGAGCGAACAGG
rnacentral:rRNA from 1 species